GGAUUGGUAGCUCAGAAUGGGAGAGCAGCCGAAGUAAUGAGUCGGCAGGCCACGGGUUCGAGCCCCGUCCAAUCCUCGA
rnacentral:tRNA from 1 species